rnacentral:rRNA from 1 species
UACGUAGGGGGCUAGCGUUGUCCGGAAUCAUUGGGCGUAAAGCGCGUGUAGGCGGUCCGGUAAGUCCGCUGUGAAAGUCGAGGGCUCAACCCUCGAAUGCCGGUGGAUACUGUCGGGCUAGAGUGCGGAAGAGGCGAGUGGAAUUCCUGGUGUAGCGGUGAAAUGCGCAGACAUCAGGAGGAACACCAAUUGCGAAGGCAGCUCGCUGGGACGUAACUGACGCUGAGACGCGAAAGCGUGGGGAGCAAACGGG